UAGGGAAUCUUGCACAAUGGGGGAAACCCUGAUGCAGCGACGCCGCGUGAACGAUGAAGCCCUUCGGGGUGUAAAGUUCUUUCGACAGGAACGAUAAUGACGGUACCUGGAGAAGAAGCUGCGGCUAACUACGUGCCAGCAGCCGCGGUAAUACGUAGGCAGCGAGCGUUGUUCGGAGUUACUGGGCGUAAAGAGUGCGUAGGCGGCGAGCCAAGUUUGGUGUGAAAUCUCCCGGCUUAACCGGGAGGGUGCGCCGAAAACUGGUUGGCUGGAGUAUGGGAGAGGAAAGCGGAAUUCCUGGUGUAGCGGUGAAAUGCGUAGAUAUCAGGAGGAACACCUGCGGUGUAGACAGCUUUCUGGACCAAAACUGACGCUGAGGCACGAAAGCGUGGGUAGCAAACA
rnacentral:rRNA from 1 species